GAUGAACGCUGGCGGCGUGCCUAAUACAUGCAAGUCGAGCGAACGGACGAGAAGCUUGCUUCUCUGAUGUUAGCGGCGGACGGGUGAGUAACACGUGGAUAACCUACCUAUAAGACUGGGAUAACUUCGGGAAACCGGAGCUAAUACCGGAUAAUAUUUUGAACCGCAUGGUUCAAAAGUGAAAGACGGUCUUGCUGUCACUUAUAGAUGGAUCCGCGCUGCAUUAGCUAGUUGGUAAGGUAACGGCUUACCAAGGCAACGAUGCAUAGCCGACCUGAGAGGGUGAUCGGCCACACUGGAACUGAGACACGGUCCAGACUCCUACGGGAGGCAGCAGUAGGGAAUCUUCCGCAAUGGGCGAAAGCCGGACGGAGCAACGCCGCGUGAGUGAUGAAGGUCUUCGGAUCGUAAAACUCUGUUAUUAGGGAAGAACAUAUGUGUAAGUAACUGUGCACAUCUUGACGGUACCUAAUCAGAAGGCCACGGCUAACUACGUG
rnacentral:rRNA from 1 species